rnacentral:misc_RNA from 1 species
GAAAUGCGAUACUUGGUGUGAAUUGUAGAAUCCCGCGAGCCAUCAAGUCUUUGAACAUAAGUUGCGCCCGAAGCCAUUAGAUUGAGGGCAUGUCUGCCUGGGCGUCUCACGUUGCGUCGCCCACGCCCCCAUCCCCCCCACGAAGGGGGGAAGAAGGGCUGCGGGCGGAUGUUGGCCCCCCGCGAGCGCCCGCGUGCGGUCGGCCCAAAAAGUGAGUCAACCGCGACGGAUGACGCGUCGCGACGAGUGGUGGUUGACAAACCGUUGCGUCGCCUCGCGCGUGUUCGUUCCAUCACGGGAGGCCUGUCGUGACCCUAUCGCGCCGCCGCCAAGGCGCUCUGAUUGCUACCCUACGUCAAGCGGGAUUACCCGCUGAGGUUAA